rnacentral:rRNA from 1 species
AGUGAACGCUGGCGGCGUGCUUAACACAUGCAAGUCGAGCGGUAAGGCCCUUUCGGGGGUACACGAGCGGCGAACGGGUGAGUAACACGUGGGUGACCCUGCCCUCAGCUCUGGGAUAAGCCUGGGAAACCGGGUCUAAUACCGGAUAUGACUCCAUGACGCAUGUUGUGGGGUGGAAAGCCUUGUGCGGCUGAGGAUGGGCCCGCGGCCUAUCAGCUUGUUGGUGGGGUGAUGGCCUACCAAGGCGACGACGGGUAGCCGGCCUGAGAGGGCGACCGGCCACACUGGGACUGAGACACGGCCCAGACUCCUACGGGAGGCAGCAGUGGGGAAUCUUGCGCAAUGGGACGAAAGCCUGACGCAGCGACGCCGCGUGAGGGAUGACGGCC